rnacentral:rRNA from 1 species
GUGGAUUAGAUACCCUAGUAGUCCACGCCGUAAACGUUGGGCACUAGGUGUGGGGGGCAUUCCACGUCCUCCGCGCCGCAGCUAACGCAUUAAGUGCCCCGCCUGGGGAGUACGGCCGCAAGGCUAAAACUCAAAGGAAUUGACGGGGGCCCGCACAAGCGGCGGAGCAUGCGGAUUAAUUCGAUGCAACGCGAAGAACCUUACCAAGGCUUGACAUGGGCCGGAUCGUCCCAGAGAUGGGGCUUCCCUUCGGGGCCGGUCCACAGGUGGUGCACGGUCGUCGUCAGCU